rnacentral:rRNA from 1 species
UAGGGAAUCUUCGGCAAUGGACGGAAGUCUGACCGAGCAACGCCGCGUGAGUGAAGAAGGUUUUCGGAUCGUAAAGCUCUGUUGUAAGAGAAGAACGAGUGUGAGAGUAGAAAGUUCACACUGUGACGGUAUCUUACCAGAAAGGGACGGCUAACUACGUGCCAGCAGCCGCGGUAAUACGUAGGUCCCGAGCGUUGUCCGGAUUUAUUGGGCGUAAAGCGAGCGCAGGCGGUUAGAUAAGUCUGAAGUUAAAGGCUGUGGCUUAACCAUAGUAGGCUUUGGAAACUGUUUAACUUGAGUGCAAGAGGGGAGAGUGGAAUUCCAUGUGUAGCGGUGAAAUGCGUAGAUAUAUGGAGGAACACCGGUGGCGAAAGCGGCUCUCUGGCUUGUAACUGACGCUGAGGCUCGAAAGCGUGGGGAGCAAACAGGAUUAGAUACCCUGGUAGUCCACGCUGUAAACGAUGAGUGCUAGGUGUUAGACCCUUUCCGGGGUUUAGUGCCGUAGCUAACGCAUUAAGCACUCCGCCUGGGGAGUACGACCGCAAGGUUG